UUAACUUUUAAUUUAUACAAAAUCAGACAAAUAUCAUUAUGAAUAAGAGUUUAGUUGUUUUGCUCUAUGGAAUACACAUUCCAUCACCCCAAAAACAGGUAAAAUACACAGAGGGUUUAAAAAGAAUUGACUAUAAUAAUAAUAGCAAUAAUCCCCCAGUAAUGAUCCUUCCGCAGGUUCACCUACGGAAA
rnacentral:misc_RNA from 1 species